rnacentral:rRNA from 1 species
CCUACGGGAGGCAGCAGUCGAGAAUCAUUCACAAUGGGGGAAACCCUGAUGGUGCGACGCCGCGUGGGGGAAUGAAGGUCUUCGGAUUGUAAACCCCUGUCAUGUGGGAGCAAAUUAAAAAGAUAGUACCACAAGAGGAAGAGACGGCUAACUCUGUGCCAGCAGCCGCGGUAAUACAGAGGUCUCAAGCGUUGUUCGGAAUCACUGGGCGGAAAGCGUGCGUAGGCUGUUUCGUAAGUCGUGUGUGAAAGGCGCGGGCUCAACCCGCGGACGGCACAUGAUACUGCGAGACUAGAGUAAUGGAGGGGGAACCGGAAUUCUCGGUGUAGCAGUGAAAUGCGUAGAUAUCGAGAGGAACACUCGUGGCGAAGGCGGGUUCCUGGACAUUAACUGACGCUGAGGCACGAAGGCCAGGGGAGCGAAAGGGAUUAGAUACCCUGGUAGUC